UACGUAGGGUGCGAGCGUUGUCCGGAAUUACUGGGCGUAAAGAGCUCGUAGGUGGUUUGUCGCGUUGUUCGUGAAAUCUCACGGCUUAACUGUGAGCGUGCGGGCGAUACGGGCAGACUGGAGUACUGCAGGGAGACUGGAAUUCCUGGUGUAGCGGUGGAAUGCGCAGAUAUCAGGAGGAACACCGGUGGCGAAGGCGGGUCUCUGGGCAGUAACUGACGCUGAGGAGCGAAAGCGUGGGGAGCGAACAGG
rnacentral:rRNA from 1 species